GUGGAGGUGAGCUAGGAGGUGGCUAGCGCCUCUGGGAGUGCAGAGACCAGGCUCCGGAGAUAUAGGCAGAGGCAGAGGGAAUCUCUGUUGAGUAGGAGGCUUGCCUUGUCUACAUAGUGCACCCUUGUCUCAAACAAAAAUUAAAAUAAAAUGAAGAAACAAAGAAAGUGAAAAUGUUGAAAGCGAACGAAAUUAAGGAGGAAUAGUGCCCGGCGGUGGUCACACUGUGUGCUUUCAAGGGAAGGUAGUACUAUGUGGGAGUGCUGGUGAAAGACCCCCGGAGUGGGGAGACCCUCACUCAAGUCUCAGGAUGACGCGACCCCCCAAGAACUCACACAAGACCGUCCUUGUUGUAAUCACAUGAGGUUUAUCGAUAGCAACCAGUGCACUGGGGUCAAGACUCGUAUCCCACGCAGGGGCAGUGGAGUUCGACCACUGCCAGUGGAGAGGCUGGGAGAAGAGGUAUUUAAAGGGAGAAACCACAACCCGAGGGGGCAGGGAUGGCGUCAUAGAAUAACAGUGAAAAAUCACAAGGAAAAACUUUCUGUCCCCCAAGAUUGUUUCCUAGGAGAAGCUGUCUCCUACUUCUCAGAUUGUUUAACUUCAUGGUCCGCUAGUUCCUAGGAGAAGUUGCUUCCUGCUUCUCAAGAUUGUUCUCUAAGAUUUAUGGUCAGCUAGUUUCUGGGAGAAAGCUGUUGAGCCAGCCAAUGUAAUUAUCCAUUCUAUAGCCUUAGGAGAGGCUUCUUGGAACAUACAAUUCUGGGCCCUAACCUGUUGUUUUUUUUUUUUUUUUCUUCUGUUCUAAACUUUGUGUCUAGGGGGGCAACUUUAAAACUUUUUUUUCCCCGCCCCCAACUUUAAAACUUUUACCUUUCACUGGGAACUAAGUUUUACUUUACUUUUUUGUCUGUGUAUUGCCUGCGUGUCUGGGCACCACGUGAUACAGUGCCCACAGAGGCCAGAAAGGGGCUCGGAUCUCUAGAGCUGGAGUUCCAGUGGGUUGUGAGUCACCUGGGUACUCGGAAUCGAACCACUGAACCUCUCGCCAGUCUUAUCAAUAUACUUAUUUUGUGUACAUGUGUGGCCGCGAGAGCCGCAGAGAACAUGAUGGACGUCAGAAUUAACACUCGCUGGGCUCAAUUCAACUUCCACCACUUGGAACUCUACCUCGAGUUCUCUGUUGCAAGCGUUCCCAGGCGCUGAGCCAUCUUGCGGAGCUGAAUAUGAGCAUUAAUGCUUCGCUUAAGCAUUGCUGACUAGGGGGUAUCCAGGCAUUCAAAAAAGGACUCAUGCGACCCAAGUCAGAGAAUUACCCGCUAGACCCCGCCCACCGAGCAAAUUUUCUUCAGAAGGGCUGUCCACUAUCCAAUCACAUUUGAGCAAAGGCGGGCAUCAGAGGUUCUGGGAUCGGCUAGUGGAGGAUUUGAAUGGUCCUGCCCAUUUUCAAUAUUCCACCAAUCACUUGGCCAAGAUCCAUUUUCACUUCCGGUUCGUGGGAAAGAAAAGGAAGUUCUUUGUACGGAAAACUGGAAGUUGACUGAAACCGGAACAGGAUGCUGAGAAUGGUCGGAACUGGAUGUUAACUUCGAUCGUAAGAUACCAGAAACAUAAAUAUGUUUCUCUGACGACUCGGCCUCCGUCGCUGUUGCUCUUGACCCAAAAUAAUUCCUCAUUCGCCCAAAGAGCCCAGAGCCGCGUGCACGCGGCUACCGCUGGUCAAGAUGGCGACAUCUAUGGUCCGAAAAGUCACCAUCUUGCCCAAAGGUCUAGAAUUGAGAUGGAAGGGCAGGGAAAGGCUAAAAAUUUGUGUGUCUGCAGGAGCUCGUGAUCUUGGGUUAGGGUACAAGGUAGGAUUAGUUUCCGCUCAGGACAACACUAGCGGGCCCCGCAGGGCUACUGGAGGGAUGAGACGCGGUGCUGUUUCCAUGGGAACCAUGCGCCUCACUCAACACUGUACCUGGAACGCAGGUACACGUACAGUCGGUGUUGAACGGUUAUAAGGAAUAUCUGCAGAUGUUACUUGGAAACAUGCAAAUAAGUAAAUAAAUGAAUAUUGGAAAAAUAAAGUCCUGCAAUGGGGCUCAGUGGUCAAAGUGACUCCCUAAGUUCAGGCCCACACGGUAGAAGAAGUUUCCCUUAAGAUCUUAGGAAUCACAUUUUUUGUGUGCCCCGCCCCAAAGUGAAGAAAAGAUGUAAAGUUCGGAGGAGAAUGUGUACGGAUUCUGUAGAAAGGGUAUGUCAUCAUAUUCGAGGGUUGGCCUUUCCAAUGUGUAUGUGUAUGUGUGUGUGUGUGUCUGUGUGUGUCUACCAUCAUCUAAACUCCAAUUCUGCUCAAAUACAAGCUCUUAACUAUGUCUAAUGUGCCUGUGUAGAGACCAGAGGUAUCUCUGGAUAUCUGUCCUCAGGAGUCCUGUACCACCACCAUUUUCUUCCUUUGAGAUAAGCUGUCUCACUGUGACCUUCGACUUGCUUCUAAGGCUGGCAGUCUCAAACCAGGGACCUUCCUGUCUCCGGUGCCCCAGUGCAGGCAUCCCAGGAAGUAACCCUGGCUCCCUUGUGCUAGGGUGGGCCUCGGGUCCAAGUGCUUUACCAGCUGAGUCCCACGUCUGUGUUUUUGCUGGCGCGCAUGCACCUUGUUUGCAGGUUUGGAGAUCAAGCUCAGUGUUGCAGGUGCCAGACAGCGUCUUUCUCUCCCACUGUCCCUGACCACAGCUUACAUUGCAAUUUAAAUUACCCUAAGAGACAGAUACUGUGUGGUGUGAGCCGCGUGUCCUGAAAAGGUCCCACUGUGUAGCUCGGACUGUGCAUAAACGUUAAUCCUCCUGCCUCCACGUCCAGAGUGCUGGGAGAGGCGUGUGCGACCAUGCACAGCCCAAUCUCAUCCUGCUUGCAGGACAGAUACCUCCAGUGUACGGGCAACCCGGGGACAGGCUGACACCUGACCCUGCAGGCCACCUGCCUUGUUCAGUCCCUUCAAGGCCGUGGCUAAAUUUUAGACAGUCGGGAAGGGAAAGCCGAAUGGCCGCCAGGUUACCUAGUUGUAAAGACCAGGUCUCUGCAAAGGGUAGUCAAUCGUGCUAGCUAGCCAUCAGUCUCUCCACAAUGACUCCAGCAAGGAGAGUGUACCUUAGGGAGGAGACCUGAUCACUAUAGCCAGGAACUGGCUCCUAGGCCACUGUGUGGGAUAGAGGGGCUGGGAAACCGGACUAAACCUUCGCAGCACGGGGCAAAAUCUGAUGUGUAGAACAUCCCAGCAGUAGGAAAUCUGAGGCGGGAGGGUGUGUGUGUGUGUGUGUGUGUGUGUGUGUGUGUGUGUGUGUGUGUGUGUGUUUUAGAUUACCAGGAGUUUGAAGCCAGCCUGGGCAACCAGAAUAAAUAAAUUACUGGAGGGAUUGGACAUUGGGACCAGGGGACUUGAGUCUUAGAGACAGGUUUCCAGCUACAGAAGCGAGUUUGAUAUAGCAAAGGUGAUGGGGUGAGGGACACAGGAGUUUAAAAAGGUUUGUACAUUACAUUUGAGAGUUUAGGGAAAAGGAAUUUCCUUCACUGGGUGGUGGUGUUACACACCUUUAAUCCCAGCGCUUCCUAGGAGGAAGAGACAGGGGGAUCUCUGAGUUUGAGGCCAGUCUGGUCUAUAGAGUGAGUUCCAGAACAGCAAGGGCUUCACAGUGAGACCCUGUCUGGGGGUGGUGGUGGGGUUCCCUUCGGUGGGAAGGGUAACACAGGGCUGGGAAGGAGGUUUGAAGUACACACUGACCUGGUACCAGCCUGUUGCCAGGAGGAGUCCAAGGUGCUGAGUGUGACCAUUGAAAACCUGGUCUAGGUGAACACUGAAGACUUGUGGUCCAGUCACACAAAGGACUGUGAAUGUGGACUUGGAGAAGGGACAGACCUUGUCCUGGGUCUAGUAGGAAGGUAUCAGGUUUCUAUUGUCUGCUUGUGGAAUGCCAUUUCCAGGGCAAGAGUGUGUAGGACUUCUUUUGACCCUGUUGUUGUAACGAGCACAAUGAUGCAAACCAUUCCAUUCAGCAUCACCAGCAGAGGAAGGUAGUCCACCCCUGACCACACCCCUAAGCCCCUCAUAGGAGUUGCUCCAAAGAACCUUUCUGGUUUUGUUUUUGUUUUUGUUUUUGUUUGUUUGUUUUUUUUUUGUUUUUUUUGUUUUUUGUUUUUAUGAUGUGGACCUCCCAAAGAACCUUUCUAAACAAGUCCACUUAACCUGUUUCCUUUCUCUCCCAUUACCUCUGGUGCAUGGUGGGCUACAAGAAAGGUUAAAACAUUUAAAAAACAUCACUAAAAAGAAACAUUUUAAAAAAUGAAAAUCACAGCCAGCGAUGCUCCAUGCCCUCCGUGCUAGGAGGGAGCUCAGGUCUUUGAGCCUCAGUGGCAACUGUCUUAUUGGUUGGUCUCACUCCCAAGGCACCACACUUGACUUUCCUUGGUCCACAGCCUCCUGUCACUAAGCUUUGUGUCCAGGAAUGCAAAUCUCGUAUUGGCUCCAUUUCCCCUCUCCCAUCUGUAGUGAGAAUUCUGGAAUUUUGUUUUUUUAAAAAACAAAUAUAAGAAUAUGUUUUCGUUUUAACCCCAGGUAUAGGAUAUGGGGCUGCUUCAGACUGUCCAACAGCUGACUACGAUUUGUCUCCUGCUCUAGUGGCUGCAGAUAGUUUCUGAGAUUGUGUGACAAUUGGAAUUCAGGGACUCUUCGGCGAUAUAUAAUACUCUGAGGAACAGGCUGUGUAGUUCUUCGUCAUUUCGGAGGAUUGGAUGUGGUUUGUUAGCAGUUGUGCUCAAAGAAGAAAGAAAUUAGAUUCAGGGAUCUCUCCUCUCCCCCUCUCCCUCUCUCCUUUCUCUCCUGUCUAGUGAUAGGAAGUGAAACCAAUGUGAUAAAUGGUGGGAGAAAGAGUGGUUAAAUCAAGUUACUCCUCUCCUCUCCUCUUUCCUUCCUCCCUUCUCUCCCUUCUCUUCUCUCUCCCCAUCCCUCUCUUCUUCACCUCUCCCUUUCUUCUUUCUCUUCUUCUCUGCCCACCCUUUCUUUUUUCUCUCUAGCUCUCUGUAUUUGAGAUUGAACUGAGAGCCACACAUAUGCCAGGCAAGGGCUCUCCUACCGUCUCUCUUGCCUACUUUGCCAUUUCUUGGUCAAGAUGAAGUUGGAGCUGUUUCCGAUCCCUGAGGCCCAAGGCAAACCCACAGUGAUUACUGUACUCAGGGACUUAACAAGAAGAUCAAGAUAAAAAGAGCACAUUCCUCAGUCGCAUUCAUCUUGAGCCUUGUCCUAGCCCAGUGUCAAAUUCUUGGGCCUACUCCCUUGCCCUAGCCCGGUGUAAACAUUCUUGCCCAUAUCCUUGAAGUGGCACCCAGAGCUCUCCACAUUGGAGCAUUCUUCAGAUCUCCAACUCCUUUGUCACUGCAACACACUUUCUCGAGGGCUGGUUCCACUCCCUGUGUGCAGCUUCCCUCAGUAGUAUUACACAGCCCUGGCAUCUCUAAGGCCUUAGGGACUCUAAGGCAGUCCAGGCUUCACCUUCACAAAUUCACACAAUGGCCUCCCUGGGCCUCCACCAUGACACCGCUGCUGAGUGCCUGGUUUCAUCAGCUUUCCUUAGUCACAGAGGAACCUCCUUUUCUCUGUUUUUGACUAUAAACCCAGAGCCAUGUGGCUGAAGCUGGCAAGGCACUGCCUGUUGGCCUGGAAAAUGGCUCCCUUGUUCAAUUACUUUUUCACCAGCUUUCUGUUUCCCAUGGUUUCCUUCACUUCGUAAGCUUGGCUGUCCUGGAACUUGCUUUGUAGACCAGGCUGGCCUUGGACUCAGACACUUGCAUGUCUCUAUCUUCUUUUUUUUUGGGUUCUUUUUUUCGGAGCUGGGGACCGAACCCAGGGCCUUGCGCUUUCUAGGCAAGCGCUCUACCACUGAGCUAAAUCCCCAACCCACAGGACAUGGUCUUAAACAAGAUUCCGAGCAUUGAAUUGAAGCUACCUGUAAUCUCUAAUGACUCCUUAACUACUCUUCCUGCUGUGAAUGGCAGUCCUUUUAUGGACAGACUGUGAAGAAGGCUGCUUUGGCCAGGCUGAGGGUCCUGCUGUGUCCUGUAGGUGGAGCCAAUGAUGGUACAAAGUCCAGGCAGGUCUCUGAGAUCUAGAAAGUGCCCCUCACAAGACACAUUGUAUCCUGGAGAGGACUGUGAGAGAGCCUGUUGUGCUAAUGCGAAUGUGGAGAUUGGUGGUGAGAAGAGUGCCUGCGAGUGUGAGGACACUGGAAAAAACAUCUUAGAAAAUGUACAGAGUCCUCGUAGGACAAAGAUCCUGAAAUGUCUGGAAUGUGGAACAGUUUUCCUUUCUCUUCCUUUAAGGAACACAGGAGAGGUCACAGAGCAGAGAAAAGUCAUGCAUGUGACUCAUGUGGGAGAGCCUUCAGCUUCUCAUAACUUAAGGACACAUGAGGUCACACACUGGAGAGCUGCUCUGCAAGUGUACAGUGUGUGUGCAAAAGCCUUUGUCUGUCACUCGUCUUUCCUAGAUGACUGCAUGUGUGUCAGCGCUGUGGGAUGGCCUUCUCUUGCUAUUCAUCCUUCAGAGAACGUGGAAGAUCGUACACUUGUUAGAAGCAUGGGGUGGAGCAGAGCCUUCUGGUAUUCUGAGUCCUUGAGGGUACACUGCACGACUCAUUUGGAACCAGUCUUUACUGUGUGAGCAGUGUGGGUAAACCUCCCCCUCCCCAACCUACUUCCAAACACACCUGAAAAUGCACCCCAUACAAGUACCCAACACUGAACUACACAGACAGCAUCUGUUUAAGUGCUUACAUUACGACGUGGUCAGAGCAAGCUGCCACAUCCUGCUAUGGAUUUGUUCCUGAAGUCACUCUGCUCAUAUACACAGAGGGACUUCAUAAACGUGUGUGUGUGUGUGUGUGUGUGUGUGUGUGUGUGUGUGUGUGUGUGCGCGCGCUCCAGGGACGGUAAUCACAGGCAUGAGUGUUCACCUGAGGAUGUGGAUAUGUGUGCUCAUGGAGACUGGAGGUCAACAGUGGGUGCUUUAGGGGAUGGGGGUGGGGGAAAAACAAUGGCUGCUUUGCUCUUCACCUUUGUGUGUUUGUGUACACUCACACGUGUGCAUGUGAGGGAUGUGCACUUGUGUAUGCACUGAGACCCAAAAAGGACGUUGGUAUCCUGGUCACUUACACCCAGCCUUGUUCCCUGGUUAUACAGUCUCUCUUGGCCAGCAAGCUCCAGCAGUCCUACUGUCUCCACCCCCUCAUGGCCUCGUGUGGUGUUGAGGGUGCAGAGUCUAGUCCUCAGACUUGUGCAGUAAGCCCUCCUAUUUGCUGAGCCUUCUUGGCAGCCCCUCUUUAGUUUUUGAGACAAAGUCUUUUCCUGAACCUGAAUCUCAUGGCUUCACUUAGGCUGACUGUCCACCGAGCCCCAGGGACACAUCUUUGCUAGCAUCGGGCUUACAGGUAUUGACAACCACACCUGGCUUUUAUGUGGUUGCCGGGGAUCAGAACUCAUGUUUCCAUGCUUGCCCCACGAGACAGCUAUACAGCCCCGAUUACUGUUACUAUGCUUUCUGGUGACAGUUAUAUGGGUUUUUUUUUUUUUUUUUUGGAAUAUAAUGGACUUGAGGAAAAUAAUUGUGUAUUAUUGCAUAACAAGGAAGUGUAUAGCCAAUAAAAGAAUGAGGUGAACUCAGAGAGUGAGAGGGAGGAGGGAGGGGAAUAGCUGGGGGAGGGAAAGAGGAAGGGGAGGGGGAGGAGAAGAGGGAGAGAAAUUGCAAGCUGUUUUUGAGCUCAGCUUCAUCACAGCAAUGACUUUCACCUGUCAGUUUGCCCCAGCAUCAGUGCCUGAGAGGCUGGUUUCACAUCCAUCCAAUAAGAUGACCCCAUUUUGGAGAACCCUGAAUUGGCAGAGGCUGGUCCUGGGCAAUUAUUAUUACUAUUACUACUAAUUAUUAUUAUUACUGCUGCUACCACAACUAGUACUAGUAUUCUUAUUUUGACAAAUUCUCAUGUAUUUCAAGCUGGUCAAAAUCUUCCAGUGUAGCAAAGGCCAACCUGGGCUACGUGAGACUCUAUGUACAAGAAGGCAGGUGUGUGUGUGUGUGUGUGUGUGUGUGUGUGCGCGCGCGCGCGCGCCCAGGAGAGAUGGCUCAGCAGUUACUCGUUGCUUUUGUGGAGGACGUGGGUUCAGAUCCUAGUAUUACAUGGUGGCUCACAGACAUUUGCACUUCAGUUCCACAGACGUCCACUUCUCACCUCUGUUAGUACUGAAAUCACGAGGCAUAGAUAUAUGCACCAAAACAUUAAUACACAUAAAAUCAAUAAUGAGGUUUUAAAGGUCCAAAUUUCACAACUCAGACUCUUACUUUCAGUGAGUACAAAUAAAACCAAGCUACGUGUUUGUAACAGACAUUAGCACAGAAUAAAUAUUUCUAUUCCUAGAGGAAGGAAUGGGUCACAACUAAGAAUAAUCAGAACAAAGAAGACGAGCUCAGCAGGACAAACCCCAACCCCACAGCUCCAUGUCUCCAUCUGGAACUCAGACAGAAGCAUCCGGGCUCGCAAAGGCUCAGGUGGUCUGUGCUGGUUUGAACAAGAUCAGCCCCCAUAGGCUCAUAUAUUUAAGUACUUGGUCCUCAGUGAAAUUGUUUGGGAAGGAUUAGGGGGUGUAUCACUGGGGUUGGCUUUGAGGCUUCAGAAGCCCAUGGCAGGCCCAGUGUGUCUCCCUUUGCCUGCUGCCUGUGAAUACAGGAUCCCAAGCCUGUCUGCUUCCCGACAUGAUUAUCACGGACUAAACUGCUGUUUUUGAGUAAAAUCUCAGUUGUUCAAUUUUACCAAUGAGGAUUUGUGAGUCAGAUGCAAGCUCAGAGAGAGAGAGAAAGCACCCGGCUGACCUUCCUCCUCAGCCAACAUCCCACACAGAUUCUCUUUCUGCCACACCAUUUCAAACAUGAGCCACCAACCAAGGAGCACACACAGGCUGGACAGAGGCCUUGGUACAUGCGUGGCAGAUGUGCAGCCCGGUCUUCAUGUGGGUCCCCCAACAACUGGAGCAGAGGCUGUCCCUAAUGCUGCUGACCUCUGUGGACUGCGUUCCCUUAACUGGACUCCCUUGUCUGGCCUCUGUGGCAGUGGAUGUGCCUAACCCUACAGAAAUUGGUGUGCCAGGGUGGGGGGUACCCAGGGGGCCUCCACCCCCUCAGAGGAGAAGGGGAGGGGAUGGAGGGAGAGACUGUAUGUGUGGGGCACUGGGAGGGAGGCAGUGAUCCAGAUGUAAAAUGAAUGAAUGAAUGAAUAAAUAAAUGGGGAAAGCUCCUUCCACCUGAACGUCCCUCCCUUGUACUUCCUGUCCAUCUCUCUGUCCUUCUGAUUUUUCUUACUUUCUACGUUUUUCUUUUCUUUUUUUCUUUUUUCUUUUUAGAUUUUAUUUAUUUAUUUAAUAUAUAUGAGUACACUGUCGCUCUCUUCAGACACAUCAGAAGAGGACAUCAAAUCAUACUACAGGUGGUUGUGAGCCACCAUGUGGGUGCUGGGAAUUGAACUCAGGACCUCUGGAAGAGCAGUCAGCGCUCUUAACCGCUGAGCCGUCUCUCCAGCCCCCCCCCCGUUUUUCUUUUCUUAAUAAACAUAUGUUCACUUCCUGUCAACAGUUGCUUGCUCCAUCUCUUGGCCUAUGGUUGACUCUAUUGAGCCCUGUUUACAAAAGGAUUUCAAGCAGGAUGCUCUUGGAUUAAAGGUGUGUGCUAGGGCUGAGCUGCAGCACAUCAAAAAACACUUUUUCCACAGUAAAUAACACAAUCUCACAGUGUGGUCAAAUAUCCUGCACCACUAUACCUGAAACUGUAAGCAAGCCCCUGGUAAAAGAAUUUUUUUUUUUUUUUGGUUCUUUUUUUUUUUUUUUUUUCGGAGCUGGGGACCGAACCCAGGGCCUUGCGCUUCCUAGGCAAGCGCUCUACCACUGAGCUAAAUCCCCAACCCCAGUAAAAGAAUUUUUAAAAUACAAGUUUUCCUUUCCAACCCUGGCUCCUGGAAUGACGAUUCUGAAACUAACUAAUUAUUAUUAAAUGCCCAGGUUAGAAGCUUUGACUCAUUCCCUGACUAGCUCUUUUUUUUUUUUUUUUUUUCGGAGCUGGGGACCGAACCCAGGGCCUUGCGCUUGCUAGGCAAGUGCUCUACCACUGAGCUAAAUCCCCAGCCCCCCCUGACUAACUCUUAACUUAUUCAACCAUUUAACCGUUGUAUCUCUCCCCCUUGGUUAGUUAACUUUCUUCAGUCCAGUUUGCUCCUUUCUUGGAGUCUUCUCAGCUCUGAGUUUAUCUGUCUGCUGGUUUAUGUCUCUCAGGCCCCCCCACUCCGCCCUCCCCCGCGCCCCAUCUCUAUUUCCCCCGCGCCCCAUCUCUAUUUUAUCUCUUACUAUUUCCCAGAAUCCUCUCUUCUUAACAGUGUCCCACCUCUUAUUUCCUGCCUCAGCUCAUUGGCCAUCUGCUUUUUUACUGACAGUUGAUGUUCUCCCUACAAGCCCCAACCAAAUGUUUCCUUUUUUAAGAGUUGCCAUGGUCACGGUGUCUCCUCACAGCAGUAGGGCAGCUGCGAUGUGGUCCUACUGCUCCACCUCCACUACUUGCAGGGCGCUUGUCCUGUUUGUGGAUCAGCUCUAUUUCCUGUCUGUAGACUUCCUGGACAGAUACUAUAUGGUCCUGGGAUUUCUAUUGUUACUUAAAUUUCACCUUCUAAGAUGACACAAUGGACUCUCAGGGCCUUCCUUCAGGGAUGCAGACCCUGCCACACAUGGUCCAGCCUUGGCUACUCUCUGAAGCCACGGAGACCUGAAAGCCCUUCAUCCACUCUUGCACCUCUUUGUGCCUGUAAGGCCAGCCCUGGCAGAGCAGGAUGGCAUCUGCUUUGUCCCCCGCAGCACAGCUUUCCUGACAGUUGGGUCUUCAGGGCACGUUUCCCAGCGUCCCAGUGAAGAGGGUGCAGGGAUUUCCCGUAACGUCAAAGGGCCAUGAGAGGAUGGUAGCCUAACAGGCAGCAUGUCUGGGCUCCCUCCCCAGCUUCAGAGCAAUCAGGCCUGCGGUGCAGACACCAUCCCAGCCCUGGAGAGGAGGAGGCAGAGAGGCAGGAGUCCUAGGCCAUCCUUGCCUGCACAGUGAGUUUGGGGCCAUUCCGAGACAUGAGAUGGUGUCUGAGGUCGGUGUUGGACUCAUUUUCCAUCUCUCUCCACUCAUGUCUUCAGGUUAGGGUCUGUCAAUGAGACUGAGUUCCCUGUCAACCCUCUCAAGGCUGGAAUUCCAGUUGGCAUAUCCAGGUGCAAUUCAUGUCCUUUCUGGAAUGUCCUUUUCUACUUUUAACUGCCGAGCCAUCUCCCUAGCCCACAAAUAUCUGCCUCUCUUGUUUGUUUGUUUGUUAGGCUAAUCGGUAAGUUAGGUAGGGGUGCGGUUGCAUGGCAUGCAUGUGGAGGUCAGAGGGCAACUUAUGGAGUUGGUUCUCUCUUCCCAGGGAACUAACCCAGGUUGUCAGGCUUGGCAGCAAGGGUUAGCAAUUAGGCACUUCCACCGGCCUGCCUCCAUCGACCUAGUGUCAGUCUAUGUCAUCACCUGUUGCCAAGAACUCUAAGCGUGCCCUGUGUGUGCACAAAAGGCUCUGGCUACCCCAGAUCUCUCUCCUGUUUCUCUCUGGCUCUGUCUCCUUCAUGUCUCUCACUCCCCGCCUGGUUCAUUCUCUCUGCCUGUCUCUGUCUCUCCCUCAUGUCUCCACUCUGAGACAGCCAUUCACUCUCCCUCCCCUCCAGUAAACCUCGCAUACUAGAUCUGUUGCCUGGCACGAUUUCUUAGCAGCACAUUGUGGCAUGGGUCUUCCAAAGGUACCCCAUGUUUGCACAUUACCCUGUAGCAAGCCCCUUUAAGCGCUGAGCUCUCCUGCUGGUCCAAGUGCUCAUAAUUUCUAACAUUAUUAUUGGAUACAGAUUUGGGGAUUAUGUACUUUAGGUUGCAAUAGAAAUCCUCCCAGGUCUAGCACUCAGGAAGGAGUAGGUCAGCACGCUUCAUGAGCCAUCCAGAGACAAAGUGGGGCAUGGUGUCUGGGUAGAAUCAGAGCUAAGGGAAGUGUUCAAAUAAUGAGGCAUUCACCAUCCAAUUAGACAUUUUAGUAACACAUUAAUAUCUAAAGAAGACCCAGGUGGUGGUGCAGUCCUUUAAUCGCAGACAUGUGGGUGGGGUGUAGGCAGAGGCAGGGGCACCUCUGAGCUUGAAGCCAGUCUGGUCUGUAGAGCUGUAGCAGAGCUUUACGGGAGCCACCAUUGUUCAUGCUGAGCUCCGGAGUGAUGGCUCCUAGGCUUUGAAGUACCCGUUUGUAAAUACUGACUGUUAUCCGAGGUCUGUGGAGUUGCUCUUCCUGAAGGAUUCUCACAGCCUUUGUGUAACUUAGUCCUGAGACACACCUGGCAAGCCAGUCAGUCUCUCUUGCCUGGGAAUUGCUUAGUUAAUGGUUCCUUCAGACAGCGCCUAGAUCUGAUAAGAGGUUUGAAAUGUGGAAAUUGAUUUGCUAACAGUGCCUUUUCUGAAAAGCUGCUAUGUGUUCAUUCCUUCAGAGGCUGUGUCUGGGUCCAUGAUUCCCCAAAUGACACCCCAGGCUGAAAUGGUGCUUUCUGAUGCAUCUCUGUAAGGAAAAGGAGCAACUGAAGGUCCUCCAGACUGCCGAUCUGACCUUGUCUCCCACGUGCACUCGGGUGGACAUAAAGACAGCGCUGCUUUAUGGAAGCAGGAAGCGUCCAUAUGGAGUCCCUGCAGUGUGUGCACGUGCUGCCUGGUGGGUAUGUGGAUAUGUGGAAGUCGACAACCUUCCUACCCACUUUGCAUCCAUGUGCUCAAUCCUCAGGAACUGCCUUCCCACAUUCAGGCUUCCCCACACCAUGUACACUCUCUGUACAGUCUCUGUGAUUGGGUAAUGUUUGGGCUUCCCCACACCAUGUACACUGGACAAUCUCUGUGAUCGGGUAAUGUUUGGGGUUCUGGGCACUUUUUGGAGAACAUAUAAAAUGCAAGGGUUCCCAAGAGGCAGGGUGGUUGGUUGAUGAUCAUUGGCUCUGGGGCAGAAGUGUUAGGAGGGUUGGUUGGUUGUGGUUUGUUAGUAGUUGUGCUCAAAGAAGAAAGGGGUUAAAUCCAGCCCUUCCACCCCAUCCCCCUUCCUCCCUUAUCUAGUGGUAUUUGGUAAAUGGGAAGGGGAGGAAUAAGGAAGAACCCACAAAGUACCAAAGACCAAUGGAGGGUUUCCCCAUGCCAUUGCUCCUGUGUGUGGAAUUUCAUGUGCAUUUGAAAGGGUGAGAAACAUCUGAAGAUUUUAAGGCUUUCCCAUGAGGUUUACAUCUGCGGGAUUUUUUUCUGGGGUCCUUUCCUGUCUUCAAAAAGACUGUAGAUAAAUGCAGGCUUCCCCACACUACCACACUCAAGGACAUGGUUGCUUUCCAGUGCAUAUUACUGUCUUUGGAACGCUGGGGGUGGCCAAUAGACGGUCCGCCUCAGUCCUUCCACUGUGCGUGAGAUCAGUGCUGUGAACCUGACCUCACUGCUGGCACCAGGUGGCUGCGUCUAGGGUGAACUGUGAAAGAUGAAGGUUGAAUGAAGACUUUGCAGGGUAGGUGUUGUUCAGGGUUUGGGGUGGGGACUUUGGUCUGGGUGACGAUUUGGAACGUUAUGAAGAAGCCUCCAUACUGAGCAGGAUUUCUGAGGAUUUCUCCACCAUACAUUUGCUAUUACCAAGUGGGAAUGUUGGAGGUGGGGUAUGGUGAGGGUAGAGUGGAGACCACUGGCCUUUGCAGGUAUCAGUCGUGAUUCUGCCUGAGACUCUCACUGUAUAUCCCGACCAGGAGGUCCUGCAAUCAGCAUCUAUGAUUCUUGAGGUUCUCCAGGUUCCACCCGUAAAAUCUGCUUGAUCAGGGCUGGAGAGAUGGCUCAGUGGUUAAGAGCACCCGACUGCUCUUCCAGAGGUUAUGAGUUCAAUUCCCAGCAACCACAUGGUGGCUCACAACCAUCUGUAAAGAGAUCCUAUGCCCUCUUCUGGUGUAUCUGAAGACAGCUACAGUGUGUACUUAUAUAUAAUAAAUAAAUAAAUCUUAAAAAAAAAGAAAA